rnacentral:rRNA from 1 species
ACGAACGCUGGCGGCGUGCUUAACACAUGCAAGUCGAGCGGUAAGGCCCUUUCGGGGUACACGAGCGGCGAACGGGUGAGUAACACGUGGGUGACCUGCCCUCAGCUCUGGGAUAAGCCCGGGAAACUGGGUCUAAUACCGGAUAUGACUCCAUGACGCAUGUUGUGGGGUGGAAAGCCUUGUGCGGCUGAGGAUGGGCCCGCGGCCUAUCAGCUUGUUGGUGGGGUGAUGGCCUACCAAGGCGACGACGGGUAGCCGGCCUGAGAGGGCGACCGGCCACACUGGGACUGAGACACGGCCCAGACUCCUACGGGAGGCAGCAGUGGGGAAUCUUGCGCAAUGGGCGAAAGCCUGACGCAGCGACGCCGCGUGAGGAUGACGGCCU